rnacentral:rRNA from 1 species
AGUGAACGCUGGCGGUAGGCCUAACACAUGCAAGUCGAACGGCAGCACAGUAAGAGCUUGCUCUUACGGGUGGCGAGUGGCGGACGGGUGAGGAAUACAUCGGAAUCUACUUUAUCGUGGGGGAUAACGUAGGGAAACUUACGCUAAUACCGCAUACGACCUACGGGUGAAAGCAGGGGAUCUUCGGACCUUGCGCGAUUGAAUGAGCCGAUGUCGGAUUAGCUAGUUGGCGGGGUAAAGGCCCACCAAGGCGACGAUCCGUAGCUGGUCUGAGAGGAUGAUCAGCCACACUGGAACUGAGACACAGUCCAGACUCCUACGGGAGGCAGCAGUGGGGAAUAUUGGACAAUGGGCGCAAGCCUGAUCCAGCCAUACCGCGUGGGUGAAGAAGGCCUUCGGGUUGUAAAGCCCUUUUGUUGGGAAAGAAAAGCAGCAGGUUAAUACCCCGCUGUUCUGACGGUACCCAAAGAAUAAGCACCGGCUAACUUCGUG